rnacentral:rRNA from 1 species
GAUGAACGCUGGCGGCGUGCCUAAUACAUGCAAGUCGAGCGAACAGACGAGGAGCUUGCUCCUCUGACGUUAGCGGCGGACGGGUGAGUAACACAUGGAUAACCUACCUAUAAGACUGGGAUAACUUCGGGAAACCGGAGCUAAUACCGGAUAAUAUAUUGAACCGCAUGGUUCAAUAGUGAAAGACGGUUUUGCUGUCACUUAUAGAUGGAUCCGCGCCGCAUUAGCUAGUUGGUAAGGUAACGGCUUACCAAGGCAACGAUGCGUAGCCGACCUGAGAAGGUGAUCGGCCACACUGGAACUGAGACACGGUCCAGUCUCCUACGGGAGGCAGCAGUAGGGAAUCUUCCGCAAUGGGCGAAAGCCUGACGGAGCAACGCCGCGUGAGUGAUGAAGGUCUUCGGAUCGUAAAACUCUGUUAUUAGGGAAGAACAAAUGUGUAAGUAACUAUGCGCGUCUUGACGGUACCUAAUCAGAAAGCCACGGCUAACUACGUG